AUGUAUGCAUUUGUAUACACUUCACUGAAACAAAUACACCAUGUCAAUACAUGGGUGGGAGCAGUUGUUGAGGCCAUUCCGCCACUUCUAGGGUGGGCAGCAGCAGCAUCUGAAGUGUCACUCAACUCUACGUUUCUGCCUGCUGCUUUGUACUUUUGGCAGUUACCACAUUUCAUGGCCCUUGCGUACUUAUGCCGUGACGACUACGUUGCUGGAGGUGGUAAAAGAACUGCAUGGGUAUCACUCAGGAAUUGUCUCUACAUGUUGCCGUUGGGGUUACUUGCAUAUAACUGGGGGCUAACAUCUGGAUGGUUCAGUUUUGAAGCAUCAUUUCUAAUGACGGGCCUUACCAUUGGAGCCUUAUCAUUUGUACUGGAUCCUACUCACAAGAGUGCAAGAAGAAUGUUCCAUGGUAGCCUUUUGUAUCUUCCUGCAUUAAUGGCUGGACUUAUAUUGCAUCGGCUGCCUAACCAAUGA
rnacentral:rRNA from 1 species